rnacentral:rRNA from 1 species
CUGGCGGCGUGCCUAAUACAUGCAAGUCGAACGCACUCUCGUUUAGAUUGAAGGAGCUUGCUCCUGAUUGAUAAACAUUUGAGUGAGCGGCGGACGGGUGAGUAACACGUGGGUAACCUGCCCUAAAGUGGGGGAUAACAUUUGGAAACAGAUGCUAAUACCGCAUAAAACCUAACACCGCAUGGUGUAGGGUUGAAAGAUGGUUUCGGCUAUCACUUUAGGAUGGACCCGCGGUGCAUUAGUUAGUUGGUGAGGUAAAGGCUCACCAAGACCGUGAUGCAUAGCCGACCUGAGAGGGUAAUCGGCCACACUGGGACUGAGACACGGCCCAGACUCCUACGGGAGGCAGCAGUAGGGAAUCUUCCACAAUGGACGAAAGUCUGAUGGAGCAGCGCCGCGUGAGUGAAGAAGGUUUUCGGAUCGUAAAACUCUGUUGUUGGAGAAGAAUGUAUCUGAUAGUAACUGAUCAGGUAGUGACGGUAUCCAACCAGAAAGCCACGGCUAACUACGUG